CGCUCUUGCAUUCCAAAGUAUAAGGGUCCCACCUGCCCUGUGACUCUAAGUUUAACGGCCGCGGUAUUCUAACCGUGCGAAGGUAGCGCAAUCAAUUGCCUUUUAAAUGAAGGCCUGUAUGAAUGGUAUAACGAGGGUCUAGCUGUCUCUUUUUUCUAGUCAGUUAAACUGAUCUGUCCGUGCAGAAGCGGACAUAAAUAUACAAGACGAGAAGACCCUAUGGAGCUUUAGACACUAGCCAACUAUGAAUAAGCGACUGAACUGAACAAGUCCUAAAUACCCGCAGCCUUAUGGUGAUGUAGUCUUAGGUUGGGGCGACCACGGGAGAAAGUAAAGCUCCCAAGCAGACCGGGAAAACCCUUAAGCCGAGAGUUGCAACUCUAAGCCGCAAAAUUUUUGACUGAAAUGAUCCGGUUGAAAAACCGAUUAACGAACCAAGUUACCCUAGGGAUAACAGCGCAAUCCUCUCCCAGAGUCCCUAUCGACGAGGGGGUUUACGACCUCGAUGUUGGAUCAGGACAUCCUAAUGGUGCAGCCGCUAUUAAGGGUUCGUUUGUUCAACGAUUAAAGUCCU
rnacentral:rRNA from 1 species